rnacentral:rRNA from 1 species
UACGUAGGGGGCAAGCGUUGUCCGGAUUCAUUGGGCGUAAAGAGCGUGUAGGCGGCCAGGUAGGUCGGUUGUGAAAACUGGAGGCUCAACCUUCAGAGGUCGACCGAAACCAUCUGGCUAGAGUCCGGAAGAGGAGAAUGGAAUUCCUGGUGUAGCGGUGAAAUGCGCAGAUAUCAGGAAGAACACCCGUGGCGAAGGCGGUUCUCUGGGACGGUACUGACGCUGAGACGCGAAAGCGUGGGGAGCGAACAGG